GCCUGGGUGGCUCAGUCGGUUGAGCAUCCGACUUAGGCUCAGGUCAUGAUCUCACCGUGAGUUCAAGCCCCAUGUCGGGCU
rfam:Felis catus breed Abyssinian Contig88893.1, whole genome shotgun sequence. [26-MAY-2016]